UAGGGAAUCUUCCGCAAUGGGCGAAAGCCUGACGGAGCAACGCCGCGUGAGUGAUGAAGGUCUUCGGAUCGUAAAACUCUGUUAUUAGGGAAGAACAAAUGUGUAAGUAACUAUGCACGUCUUGACGGUACCUAAUCAGAAAGCCACGGCUAACUACGUGCCAGCAGCCGCGGUAAUACGUAGGUGGCAAGCGUUAUCCGGAAUUAUUGGGCGUAAAGCGCGCGUAGGCGGUUUUUUAAGUCUGAUUUGAAAGCCCACGGCUCAACCGUGGAGGGUCAUUGGAAACUGGAAAACUUGAGUGCAGAAGAGGAAAGUGGAAUUCCAUGUGUAGCGGUGAAAUGCGCAGAGAUAUGGAGGAACACCAGUGGCGAAGGCGACUUUCUGGUCUGUAACUGACGCUGAUGUGCGAAAGCGUGGGGAUCAAACAGG
rnacentral:rRNA from 1 species